rnacentral:rRNA from 1 species
GAUGAACGCUGGCGGCGUGCCUAAUACAUGCAAGUCGAGCGAACGGACGAGAAGCUUGCUUUUCUGAUGUUAGCGGCGGACGGGUGAGUAACACGUGGAUAACCUACCUAUAAGACUGGGAUAACUUCGGGAAACCGGAGCUAAUACCGGAUAAUAUUUUGAACCGCAUGGUUCAAAAGUGAAAGACGGUCUUGCUGUCACUUAUAGAUGGAUCCGCGCUGCAUUAGCUAGUUGGUAAGGUAACGGCUUACCAAGGCAACGAUGCAUAGCCGAGCUGAGAGGGGGAAGGGCCACACAGGAACUGAGACACGGCCCAGACACUGACGGGCGGCAGCAGCAGGGAAGCGUCCGAAAAGGGAGAAAGCCUGCCGGAGCAACGCCGCGUGAAUGAUGAAGGUCUUCGGAUCGUAAAACUCUGUUAUGAGGGAAGAACAUAUGUGUAAGUAACGGUGCACAUCUGGACGGUACCUAUACAGAAAGCCACGGCGAACUACGG